AACGAACGCUGGCGGCAUGCCUAACACAUGCAAGUCGAACGAGAUCUUCGGGUCUAGUGGCGCACGGGUGCGUAACGCGUGGGAAUCUGCCCUUUGGUUCGGAAUAACAGUUGGAAACGACUGCUAAUGCCGGAUGAUGACGAAAGUCCAAAGAUUUAUCGCCAGAGGAUGAGCCCGCGUAGGAUUAGCUAGUUGGUGUGGUAAAGGCGCACCAAGGCGACGAUCCUUAGCUGGUCUGAGAGGAUGAUCAGCCACACUGGGACUGAGACACGGCCCAGACUCCUACGGGAGGCAGCAGUGGGGAAUAUAGGACAAUGGGCGAAAGCCUGAUCCAGCAAUGCCGCGUGAGUGAUGAAGGCCUUAGGGUUGUAAAGCUCUUUUACCCGGGAUGAUAAUGACAGUACCGGGAGAAUAAGCUCCGGCUAACUCCGUGCCAGCAGCCGCAGUAACAC
rnacentral:rRNA from 1 species